rnacentral:rRNA from 1 species
CGGGAGAGCUCAAUUUGAAAUCUGGCGUCCUCAGGGCGUCCGAGUUGUAAUCUAUAGAGGCGUUUUCCGUGCCGGACCGUGUCCAAGUUCCUUGGAACAGGAUAUCAAAGAGGGUGACAAUCCCGUACUUGACACGACGACCGGUGCUCUGUGAUACGUCUUCUACGAGUCGAGUUGUUUGGGAAUGCAGCUCAAAAUGGGUGGUGAGUUCCAUCUAAAGCUAAAUAUUGGCGAGAGACCGAUAGCGAACAAGUACCGUGAGGGAAAGAUGAAAAGCACUUUGGAAAGAGAGUUAAACAGUACGUGAAAUUGUUGAAAGGGAAACGAUUGAAGUCAGUCGUGACCGAGAGGCUCAGCCGGUUCUGCCGGUGUAUUCCCCUCGGUCGGGUCAACAUCAGUUUUGUCCGGUGGAUAAGGGCGGUAGGAAGGUGGCACCCUCGGGUGUGUUAUAGCCUGCCGUCGCAUACAUCGGGUGAGACUGAGGAACGCAGCUCGCCUUUAUGGCCGGGGUUCGCCCACGUCCGAGCUUAGGAUGUUGACAUAAUGGCUUUAAACGACCCGUCUUGAAAACACGGG